GAUGAACGCUGGCGGCGUGCCUAAUACAUGCAAGUCGAGCGAACAGACGAGGAGCUUGCUCCUCUGACGUUAGCGGCGGACGGGUGAGUAACACGUGGAUAACCUACCUAUAGGACUGGGAUAACUUCGGUAAACCGUAGCUAAUACCGGAUAAUAUAUUGAACCGCAUGGUUCAAUAGUGAAAGACGGUUUUGCUGUCACUUAUAGAUGGAUCCGCGCCGCAUUAGCUAGUUGGUAAGGUAACGGCUUACCAAGGCAACGAUGCGUAGCCGACCUGAGAGGGUGAUCGGACACACUGGAACUGAGACACGGUCCAGACUCCUACGGGAGGCAGCAGUAGGGAAUCUUCCGCAAUGGGCGAAAGCCUGACGGAGCAACGCCGCGUGAGUGAUGAAGGUCUUCGGAUCGUAAAACUCUGUUAUUAGGGAAGAACAAAUGUGUAAGUAACUAUGCACGUCUUGACGGUACCUAAUCAGAAAGCCACGGCUAACUACGUG
rnacentral:rRNA from 1 species